GUAAAUGAUUUUAACUUUGACGUAGAUGGGUCGGUUAGUACGUUUGCAGAUGACACCAAAAAUGGUGGAGUGAGUAAAGCUGUCAAUGUUUUUCAGCGAGAUGUAGAUCAACUACAGAAAUGGCAGGUAGACAGAAAAUGCUGGCGAAACUCAGCGGGUGAGGCAGCGUCUGUGGAGAGAAAGACUUGGCGACAUUUUGGGUCGAGACCCUUCAUACGAACAAGUGUGAGGUGUCUCACUUUGGGAGGUCAAAUGUAAGGAGAAAGAAUACAGUUAUUGGCAAGAUCCAAAAACUGCAAUGUAGUUUGUUGGUCAUUAUUUUAAGAGUAUUUGAGUAUAGGAACAAGGAUGUCUUGUUACAGCUGUGCUGUAUAGGGUGUUGGUGCAACACCAUCUGGAGUUUUGUGUAGAGAUUUUCUGAGGUAGGUGCAGGUCACUUCUAGACUUAACUAUAUACAUAUUUUAUUAAGGAAACGUACAAUGUCCUUUCAAGAGUUACAUGGGAUUGGGUACUAUUACACUUUGUAGCAGCGUGACUGAAACAAUUGUUAGCACUCCACUGUAAUGCCUGUCUAAUGCACCCAUUUUGGUGUAAUAGCAUUUCUAGGUUAAUGUGUCCCUGUGACCUGAAUCUGAUGUUCAUGUCUUGCAGAACUGAAGGCUGAACUGAUUACACAUUUGAUGAGACCAUACUCAACGACAAUUGUUGAGCUUUUUUCUAGCGUGUGAACAUGCAGAGCAACAAAUUAUGAUUAGAUCCAAUUUUAGAUCCAUCAGUAUUUGUUUGUGUGUAAUAACACAAAAUAGUAAAUACAUUACACUUCUGAUUUUUGAUUAUUCUUUCUAACCCUUUAUGCCCGAGUAUUUUACAGCACUCUGUUCCACACAUUCUUGCUUUAAUGACAAUCUCUGAAUCAGGAGAUUAAAAUAUUACUCCAGAGAUUUCUGGAGGUAAUUCAGGCUGACAGUCCUGCGCAAGGCUGAAUGCAUGCUGCACUGUCUAAGCAUUGCAGGUCCCGAAGAGUACAGUGGCCUCCGUCAUUCUUAAAUGGAAGAACUUUGGAACACAGGACUCUUCAUAGUGCUGGCCGCCUGACCAAACUGAGCAAUCGGACAGAGCUCCAGUUCCUCUGUUGACAUGGGAGAACCUUCCAGAAGGACAACUAUAUCUGCAGCACUCCACCAAUCAGGCCUUUCUGGUAGAAUGGCCAGACGGAAGCCAAUCCUCAGUAAAAGGCACAUGACAGCCCACUUGGAGUUUACCAAAAAGCACCUAAAGGACUCUCAGACCAUGAGAAACAAGAUUCUCUGGUCUGAUGAAGCCAAGAUUGAACUCUUUGGUCUGAAUGCCAAGCGUCACGUCUGGACGAAACCAGGCACUGCUCAUCACCUGGCCAAUACCAUACCUACGGUGAAGCAUGGUGGUGGCAGCAUCAUGCUGUGGGGAUGUUUGUCAGCUGCAGGAACUGGGAGACUAGUCGGGGAAAGAUGAACAGAGCAAAGUACAGAGAGAUCCUUGAUGAACACCUGCACCAGAGCGUUCUGGACCUCAGACUGGGGCGUAGGUUUACCUUCCAACUGGACAAUGACCCUAAGCACACAGCCAAGACAACGCAGGAGGGUGCUUUGUGGCAGGUCUGUGAAUGUCCUUGAGUUGCCCAACCAGAGCCCGGACUUGAACCCGAUCGAACAUCUCUGGCGGGACCUGAAAAUAGCUGUGCAUCGGCGCUCCCCAUCCAACCUGACAGAGCUUGAGAGGAUCUGCAGAGAAGAAUGGGAGAAAUUACCCAAAUACAGGUGUGCCAAGCUUGUAGCAUCCUGCCCGAGAAGACUUGAGGCUGUAAUUGUUGCCAAAGGUGCCUUAUCAAAGUACCUGUACUGAGUAAAGGAUCCAGUGAAAGGCCAUGCAGGACUGAGAUAUGAAGAAAUAUCUUCAUGCAGAAGGUCCUGGAGAAGACCUUUCCUUUUAACAAAGUUUUCAUGAUGUGAAGAAAAUUUAUGCCAUAACAACCCGAGCUGAUUUUGAAGAGCAUUAGACUUUAUAUUGCUUUGCAUUGUUACACAGCAGAGUAAUUAUACCAUUGGGCAUAGGGGUUCUGUGUAACAGAAGCUGAAAGCUCGGAUGUGCAGAAUGGAAUUUCUAUAUACUAUUUUUCGAAAGCAGAAGGCGUACUAUGAACACUGUUGCAAAUAUGACAAUUGGAAGUAAACCUUUGCAGACAGGAACUGCAUAUAGGUAGAAAACGUUUGCACUGUUGUGUAUGAGAAAGGAAGCACUUGGGUUGUUUUUCAUUUGCUGGUUGUACAACAGCUGCUUGUAUCCAUAUUAACCCCUUGGCUGAGCAGUUACCGAACAAAAUUUGACCCUAGCCGCAGGGAGGGUGACUAAAAUCUUGAUCAGAGUAAAGGUUUUAAGUUUUCUUGAUGCAUUCAAGAGAGAGUUAGAUACAGCUCUAAGGGCUAAUGAAAGGGGGAUAUGGGGUAUUUGCCUGAACAGUCUGUGACCCAUAGCGCUGUGGCCGGUGGCACUUUGUUUAAAUUCCCAUGCCCUAAACCGACAGCGCUCUGUUUAAACCUUUGUGUGCCAAACCGGCAGCGCUCUAUUACUUUUACCCCAAGUCUGUAUUGCUGUGUGUAUUGCUUUUUGAGCCAAGUCUGUAGCACUGUGUGUAUUGCCUUUACCCCAAGUCUGUAUUACUAUGUGUAUUGCUUUAUACGCCAGUCUGCAACUGACAGCACUUUGUUUCCAAAGUGGGGGGGGUGGGGGCUUGAUCGAUGUAGUCCUCUGCCAUCGGGUGCAAUUUAAAUUUAGGAGCAGCGCUAUUGGCCAGGUCUAACCGCCAGUUAUUUCAAUACCUGAUUUCCUACCUGUAUAAAGGCAGGCGCCAGCAAGCCAGAAGUUAGUUUAAGUUCAUAUACGAGAGGGGUUCACCGACUGGCUAAUCAGCGCUGCAGAUGGAGGCAGAGAGAGAGACACGUGUACUGCUGUAAAACGGACCCAGCGCAUACCAAGACAAGUAUUAUUUUUGUUCUCUCUCUUGCCAAUAAAUCUGAUGUGUUCAUGUACGAGAGAGAUUCACCGACGGGCUGAGUCGCGAUCAGCGCCAUGGACAGAGGCAGAGAGAGAGAGAGAGAGAGAGAGAGAGAGUGUGCUGCUGUAAAACUGGACCCUGUGCAUACCGAGACAUGUAUUGUUUUUGUCCUCUCUUGCCAAUAAAACUGAUUUGCAACUAAACAGACAAGUGAUCCUUUUUCUGUUCUACUAGUCAGAACAUUGAACCCGUUCCCUUGCAACAUGGGGUGAAAUCAGGAACGGGCUACUGAUUUUGGAUGCUCAGCCAUGAUCAUAUUGAAUGGCGGUGCUGGCUCAAAGGGCCGUUUGGCCUAGUCCUGCAUCUAUUUUCUAUGUUUCUUGAAGAAUAAUGGAUGAAAGGCAGAGAGAUUUUGGAAGGGAAUUUCACCAAUUGAGCCAAUGUUUGAUUAAAUGUGGGUUCUAUCAAGUAGCUAACCAUCUGAAAAAACCGGGACAGAUUUUAUUUUCUCAAUUUGUGGCGAGUAAUAAACUAGACUUGGACAGCAGUGUUCACAGGAUUUGUGCAAGGUGUUUUAUUUAUGAAAUUACAGUGCAUUCAGAAAGUAUUCAGACCCCUUCACUUUUUCCAUAUUUUGGGGUAUUUUCCAUAAUAAAAAAGUGAAAACAGUUUAGAAAUUUUUGCAAAGUAAUUAAAAGAAAUAACUGAAAUAUCACAUUUACUUAAGUAUUCAGUACUUUGUUGAGGCACCUUUGGCAGCGAUUACAGCCUCAAGUCUUCUUGGGUAUGACGCUACAAGCUUGGCACACCUGUACUUGGGUAA